rnacentral:rRNA from 1 species
UCCUAUUCUUUCGAAGUUUACAUACCGAAAUACUUCAUCCUUCACGCGGCGUUGCUGGGUCAGGGUUUCCCCCAUUGCCCAAAAUUCCCGACUGCUGCCUCCCGUAGGAGUCUGACCCGUUAUUCAGUGUCAGUGUGUCCGACCGUCCUCUUAGACCGGAUACAGAUCGUAGCCUUGGUAAGCCGUUACCUUACCAACAAGCUAAUCUGCCGCAAGCUCCUCCCCAGGCAAUAAAUCUUUAACAACUGUCACCUUGCGGUGCCGCUGCAUUAUGCGGUAUUAGCGUCCGUUUCCGAACGUUAUUCCCCACCCGAGGGUAGAUUACUUACGUGUUACUCACCCGUGCGCCACUUUAUGCACUCCCCGAAGGGAGCUUUAAUCGUUCGACUUGCAUGUCUGAGGCACGCCGCCAGCGUUGAUUCUGAGCCAUGAUCAAACUCUAAUCACUAGUGAAUUCGC